GGGCGGUUAGCUCAGCUGGUUAGAGCGCCUGCUUUACACGCAGGAGGCCGCAGGUUCGAGUCCUGCACUGCCCACCA
rnacentral:tRNA from 2 species